AUCACUAUAAAUACAAGGUUAUACAUUGGUUCUCAUGUACACACAUAUUACUUUAUAGCACUGAUGAGUAGGUUUUAUACCUACAAUUUGGAUACUUUUUAGACUUAAUUCGUUGUUAACUUUGAGUAUUUUUGUGUCAUUUCACUUAUUUUUGUUUUUGUGUUGUAAGAAACGGCUUCAGAGGCUCAAAACAUAUAAAUGGAGCUUAAUGGCAUUUUUGUAAUUCUUGGCACUGUUCAUGCGCCGGGGCGAGUUUUCCUGGUGUAAAAUCUGCGCCAGGGAGAAGUUAUCGGGAAAAAAAAGAAAGUUUUUAAAAGUUAAGUCCAAGAAAGAUUGGUUCGAGCUGAUGGUUUGAAGGACUUUAAGGAGGUCUUUAAGACACAUGAAGAGAUAAAAAAGGAGGAGUAUUCACAAGGAUUAGGGGGACUUAAUCAGUGAUUCCAUUCCAUUAGAUUAUAUUAGAUUAAGUUAGGAAAAACCAUAGUUCUUAUUAGAUUUGGAGAAUGAAGCAACUUGGAG
rnacentral:lncRNA from 1 species